CCAGUCAGCGGUUCUUUUUAUAGCAGCCUGAACUGACUAAGACACUUGGGAACGUCCAUCCAUCACUUGCAGAAAACAAAAGAGAGCAAGAGAGAAGACAGUGGGUGAAGUCCUGGUUCCAGACUCCCCUUUUUGCCGGGAUAUGAUGGAUCUGUCAGCUGGUGCCUAGAGUCCUAGAGAGCUAGAGAUGGAGGGAAAUUCAGAUCAUCUAAACCCUUCAGCCCUUCACUGGACAGAAGAGGAAACUGAGGCUCCAUCUGCAUGACGUUCCCAGAGUCACGGCACAAAUUCAUGGAAGAAGCAGCAGGAAACUCAGUUCUCCAGUCUGGGUCCAAUGUGUGUUUUAGAAAUAUCUCCACAGGGUUAAUGACUCAAUUUUUCAUGCAUGAUUGCUAGUAAUGACAAUCAUGUUAUGUUUGUUUCUGUAGCUUUGGAAAUCACUCCUUCCACUUGAGUUUCAGGUCCCAACUGUCCACACCUGCAGGAGUGAGGUUUUGCUGAGACUGAUAAGGCACUCACAUUUUGUGGGAGUUGAAUUGUCUCUGUAGCCUAGAAUCUAGAUUUUUUUCCCUCCUCUGCUCUCAGUGAACGGAGAAUUCCAUCUCGGUACAAUCUGUGAACCAUUCUGCAGUAAGAUUGUCAUCGUCUCAUUCAUACUACCUGGUCGGUAACACAAAGGGCUGUAAUUGAUGUGGUUCAGAGACUCACAUCCAAGCAAUAAAAAUGAAUCCCUUAUGGUGGUCUGCAGC
rnacentral:lncRNA from 10 species